rnacentral:rRNA from 1 species
AUUGAACGCUGGCGGCAUGCCUUACACAUGCAAGUCGAACGGUAACAGGUCUUCGGAUGCUGACGAGUGGCGAACGGGUGAGUAAUACAUCGGAACGUGCCUAGUAGUGGGGGAUAACUACUCGAAAGAGUGGCUAAUACCGCAUGAGAUCUACGGAUGAAAGCAGGGGAUCGCAAGACCUUGUGCUACUAGAGCGGCCGAUGGCGGAUUAGGUAGUUGGUGGGAUAAAAGCCUACCAAGCCGACGAUCUGUAGCUGGUCUGAGAGGACGAUCAGCCACACUGGGACUGAGACACGGCCCAGACUCCUACGGGAGGCAGCAGUGGGGAAUUUUGGACAAUGGGCGCAAGCCUGAUCCAGCAAUGCCGCGUGCAGGAUGAAGGCCUUCGGGUUGUAAACUGCUUUUGUACGGAACGAAAAGCCCUGGGUUAAUACCCUGGGGUCAUGACGGUACCGUAAGAAUAAGCACCGGCUAACUACGUGCCAGCCGCCGCAGUAAAAC